rnacentral:rRNA from 1 species
UACGAAGGGGGCUAGCGUUGUUCGGAAUUACUGGGCGUAAAGCGCACGCAGGCGGUUCGAUUAGUCAGAAGUGAAAGCCCCGGGCUCAACCUGGGAACUGCUUUUGAUACUGUCGAGCUUGAAUCACGGAGAGGGUAGUGGAAUUCCGAGUGUAGAGGUGAAAUUCGUAGAUAUUCGGAAGAACACCAGUGGCGAAGGCGACUACCUGGCCGUCGAUUGACGCUCAUGUGCGAAAGCGUGGGGAGCAAACAGG